GGCUCAGGAUGAACGCUGGCGCGUGCUUAACACAUGCAAGUCGAACGAAGCAUUUAAGAUGGAGUCUUCGGACAAAGCCUUAAAUGACUUAGUGGCGGACGGGUGAGUAACGCGUGGGUAAUCUGCCUUGUACAGGGGGACAACAGUUGGAAACGACUGCUAAUACCGCAUAAUGUUAUCGGAACCGCAUGGUCUGAUAACCAAAGAUUUAUUGCUGAAAGAUGGUCUCGCGUCUGAUUAGCUAGUUGGUGAGGUAACGGGCUCACCAAGGCGACGAUCAGUAGCCGGCUUGAGAGAGUGAACGGGCCACAUUGGGACUGAGACACGGCCCAAAACUCCUACGGGAGGCAGCAGUGGGGAAUAUUGCACAAUGGGGGAAACCCUGAUGCAGCAACGCCGCGUGAGUGAAGAAGUAUUUCGGUAUGUAAAGCUCUAUCAGCAGGGAAGAAAAUGACGGUACCUGACUAAGAAGCCCCGGCUAACUACGUG
rnacentral:rRNA from 1 species